rnacentral:tRNA from 1 species
GUCCCCUUCGUCUAGAGGCCUAGGACAUCGCCCUUUCACGGCGAAAACAGGGGUUCGAAUCCCCUAGGGGACG